UACGUAGGCAGCAAGCGUUGUUCGGAAUUACUGGGCGUAAAGAGUGUGUAGGCGGUGCUCCAAGUCUGGUGUGAAAUCUCCCGGCUUAACUGGGAGGGUGCAUUAGAAACUGGAAUGCUAGAGGAUGGGAGAGGUAAGCGGAAUUCCUGGUGUAGCGGUGAAAUGCGUAGAUAUCAGGAGGAACACCUGUGGUGUAGACAGCUUACUGGACCAGUUCUGACGCUGAGACACGAAAGCGUGGGUAGCAAACAGG
rnacentral:rRNA from 1 species